rnacentral:rRNA from 1 species
AUGGCUCAGACUGAACGCUGGCGGCGUGCUUAACACAUGCAAGUCGAACGCGAAAGGGACUUCGGUCCUGAGUAAGGUGGCGCACGGGUGAGUAACGCGUGGAUAAUCUGCCCUUAUGAUCGGGAUAACAGUUGGAAACGGCUGCUAAUACCGGAUACGCUCAAGAUGAACUUUUUGAGGAAAGAUGGCCUCUGCUUGCAUGCUAUCGCAUAGGGAUGAGUCCGCGUCCCAUUAGCUUGUUGGCGGGUAACGGCCACCAAGGCAACGAUGGGUAGCCGAUUUGAGGGGAUGAUCGGCCACACUGGAACUGAAACACGGUCCAGACUCCUACGGGAGGCAGCAGUGGGGAAUAUUGCGCAAUGGGCGAAAGCCUGACGCAGCGACGCCGCGUGAGGGAUGAAGGUUUUCGGAUCGUAAACCUCUGUCAGAAGGGAAGAAACUACGUUGUGCUAAUCAGCAGUGUACUGACGGUACCUUCAAAGGAAGCACCGGCUAACUCCGUGCCAGCCGCCGC